GCUUGACGAAGUUCGGUGAAGAGUUGGGUUGUGAGAGCGUUGUAGUGUGAUGGACGAUGGAGGCGGAGAUGGAAGACUCCGGAGUUUGGGUUUUGUCGCUCGAUUUUUAUGCAUUUGUAGUCCUCCAUUGGCCUUCGGCGGAAAUUGGUGGGUUAUAAUUUUGGAGAAUUGGAAAGUAUACUUUGAGAAGUGAACUUGUGUGUUAAGUUUUAGAUUUUCAUACAUUUCUACUUGUAUAAUCAUUUUUUUGUUUCAGAAAGUAGAAAGUUUAGGUUAAUGAUUUAUUGAUUAUUUGAUAAUUUUAACGUAAUAGUUUUUAUCUUUUUUAUAAUUGUGUAUUAAUGUCACACAUACCAAAAAUAUACCGAAGAUAGAAAGAAUGAAUAAAGGUGAAAAAGAGUCUGCCUUCAACUUGAACGUUCUAUUCCCCUCUCUUAAUAGGGAAAAAUAAAUAAAUCACAAUAAGAGGGAAAAAAAAAUUAUGAAUACAAUAAAUCGAAAGGAAAAGAAAGAAAAUUAAAAUAGGAAAAAAGAAAAAGAAAUUGAGAAAGUGUAUGGGAAUGAAAAUUUACAUUCUUCUUCUUCCCAUAGACGCAGUGUUUCCAUCAAACAGAUCAUCAAUCAAACCUUCAAUGUCUUCAGGUUGAUACUUUAUGUAUUUCUCCGAUUGUCUUCCCGCAUCAAAAUGCUGCUUGAAUCUCCCUACGAACGAACGGUACGCUGGAAUCAUCACCGCCGACACUGAU
rnacentral:lncRNA from 1 species